CCUACGGGAGGCAGCAGUGGGGAAUAUUGGACAAUGGGGGAACCCUGAUCCAGCCAUGCCGCGUGUGUGAAGAAGGCCCUCGGGUUGUAAAGCACUUUCAGUGAGGAAGAACGCCUGGUGGUUAAUACCCAUCAGGAAAGACAUCACUCACAGAAGAAGCACCGGCUAACUCCGUGCCAGCAGCCGCGGUAAUACGGAGGGUGCGAGCGUUAAUCGGAAUUACUGGGCGUAAAGCGCGCGUAGGUGGCUUGAUAAGCCGGUUGUGAAAGCCCCGGGCUCAACCUGGGAACGGCAUCCGGAACUGUCAAGCUAGAGUGCAGGAGAGGAAGGUAGAAUUCCCGGUGUAGCGGUGAAAUGCGUAGAGAUCGGGAGGAAUACCAGUGGCGAAGGCGGCCUUCUGGACUGACACUGACACUGAGGUGCGAAAGCGUGGGUAGCAAACAGGAUUAGAUACCCGUGUAGUC
rnacentral:rRNA from 1 species